UCUGCUCUACUCCACAACAAUAGACCCGGCCUGCUAAAAAUAAGGAGGAAAACCCCGUCAGACUCGCGGUGCGGCAGUGUGGAGACCUGUCGUAAUACGUCCGCUGUUAUACCCGGCGGCCGUGAGGGCAUACAUUGAGGAUUCAGUAUGCUCGGAGUCAGAACAGUAUGGCA
rnacentral:ncRNA from 1 species